rnacentral:rRNA from 1 species
CCAAUAGCGUAUAUUAAAGUUGUUGCAGUUAAAAAGCUCGUAGUUGAAUUUUAGGCCUGGCCGGGCGGUCCGUCUUUGGCGAGUACUGUCUUGUUGUCGGGUCUUCCUUCUGGUGCACCAGUAUGCCCUUUAUUGGGUGUGUUGGGGAGCCAGGACCAUUACCUUGAAAAAAUUAGCGUGUUUAAAGCGGGCUAUUGCUUGAAUCGAUUAGCAUGGAAUAAUAGAAUAGGACGUUGUGGUUCUAUUUUGUUGGUUUCUAGGACCACCGUAAUGAUUAAUAGGGAUAGUUGGGGGCAUUAGUAUUCAAUUGUCAGAGGUGAAAUUCUUGGAUUUAUUGAAGACUAACUACUGCGAAAGCAUUUGCCAAGGAUGUUUUCAUUAAUCAAGAACGAAAGUUAGGGGAUCGAAGACGAUCAGAUACCGUCGUAGUCUUAACCAUAAACUAUGCCGACUAGGAAUCGGGCGACGUUAUUUUCAUGACUCGCUCGGCGCCUUAUG